AGAGUUUGAUCGUGGCUCAGAUUGAACGCUGGCGGCAGGCUUAACACAUGCAAGUCGAACGCCCCGCAGGGGGAGUGGCAGACGGGUGAGUAACGCGUGGGAACGUACCUUUCGCUUCGGAAUAUUCCCGGGAAACUGGGAGCAAUGCCGAAUACGCCGUAUUGGGAAAGAUUUAUCGGCGAAAGAUCGGCCCGCGUUAGAUUAGGUAGUUGGCGGUGUAAUGGACCACCAAGCCUACGAUCUAUAGCUGGUCUGAGAGGAUGAUCAGCCACACUGGGACUGAGACACGGCCCACACUCCUACGGGAGGCAGCAGUGGGGAAUUUUGGACAAUGGGGGCAACCCUGAUCCAGCCAUGCCGCGUGCGGAAAGAAGGCCUUCGGGUUGUAAACCGCUUUUAGUCGGGAAAAAAAGAUCACGGAUAACACCUGUGGUUCUUGACGGUACCGGCGGAAUAAGCACCGGCUAACUACGUGCCAGCAGCCGCGGUAAUACGUAGGGUGCGAGCGUUAAUCGGAAUUACUGGGCGUAAAGCGUGCGCAGGCGGUUUCGUUAAAUUUCGAUGUGAAAGCCCCGGGCUCAACCCUAGAGAACUGCAUUGGAACUGGGCGAGCUUGAGUCGCGCAGCUAACGCAUUAAGUCAUCCGCCUGGGGGGAGUACGGGUCGCAGAUUACACUCAAGGUAUUUGGACGGGGGCCUGCACAGCGGUGGAGACCUGUUGUGUUUUUAUUCGAAGCACCGCGCAGAUUCUUAACGAGCGUUUGGACAUCUAUCGCUGAUUCAGAGAUGCUUUCUUCAGUCGGCUGGAUUAAUGACAGUGCUUGCAUGCUGUCGUCAGCUCUGUCCAGAGAAAUGGUUGGAUUCACGUCCAGCAACGAGCCAUUGUAGGAUCAGUUGCCAGCAGAUCCUAGACGACUGCUGACAGAAGA
rnacentral:rRNA from 1 species